rnacentral:lncRNA from 1 species
AAUACAGACAGUCAGGGGGUUGUUAAUAUCUGUCAAAGGAACAGAGACAGUCAGGGGGUUGUUAAUAUCUGUGACAGGAACAGAGAGUGUCAGGGGGUUGUUAAUAUCUGUGACAGGAACAGAGACAGUCAGGGGGUUGUUAAUAUCUAUCACAGGAACAGAGACAGUCAGGGGGUUGUUAUCAUGUGUUCUGGGAGAGUGUCAGAGUGUAGUUAUUACAGGAUGUGUGCUGCAUUAUUUUUGUUCAUGAACACAGGCAGUGACUCAGUACCAGAGUACAGCUCUCAGGAUGUGAGAGUGGAUCAGUGUCUCAGUGUAGGAAAGGGAUCAGAGACUCACCUGGUAUGAUGUAUCUGUCACUGCGUGGAGAGAGAGUGCUGGGGUCUGUACCCACACUGUAGUCACAGCUCACCUCACUGCUCAGAUCGCUCACACUCUCAUUAAACAGACAGCUCUUUCCUCUAGUCUUCAAUGAUCUGUGUGGCUGCUGUGUGUCUCCAGAGUACAGGUUACAGCUGGUAACAUUAUCAGGGCUGGAAGUCUUACAGGAAAUAAGGACAUGUCCUUCACUGGAGAUCUUCGAGCUCUCCACAGAGAUCUCUGGUUUCUGCAGCUCCCCUGUCAACAGAGCAAACACAGGUCCUGAGCAGCACUGACAGGAGUGUUAGAGCUCUGUGUCUCAUCUCUCUGGUGCUGCCCUUCACUCUUCACUGCUCCUGUCAUCAGUAUAACACACUGCACUGCUGCACUGCUGCACUGCUGGCUACAGGCAAAGACCCUAACCCUAACUAUUCCUGUACCUGUAUUGUCUGUAUACAGGUUAAAAAUAGUCUUUAAUUUAAACAGUACGCAACGGAGAACUACAAUUCCCAUGAUGCAUCUGAGCAGAGACAGUAGAUGGUUGCUCUUAACUCUACAGUCCCUGCAGUCCUACAGUACCUACAGUCUCUACACUCCUAGUCUCUACACUCCUACAGUCUCUACAGUCCUACAGUCCUACAGUCUCUACAGUCUCUACAGCAGGGGUGCCCAACCUUUUUAAGUAUAAGAGCUACUUUUUUGCCAGUCCAGUGCGAUCUACCAGUGUGAAUUUGAAGCUCUGAUACAGGAAAAACAGACUGUGGGCACAUCAGUACAAUAACGAUACCCAUCACUAAAAUGACAGCAAAUAAAAGCAAGUGACUCAGGCUACAGAGAACCAGUAAUGUUCCCCAUUUUAGAGAAAAGAAUAUCCUACCUUAAUGUGAGCACUGGCACUGAGAAGCUUACCGGAGAACACUUGUAAUUUGUUUUGAGCGUGUUGACACUGCUGAUCGUGUCGAUGACAUUUGUAUUGUGUCCCUGCAGCUCGACACUCAGCUCACUCAGCAGUUCAGUCAGGUCUGUGAGGACUGCUAAAUCCAGAAGCCACUGGUCGUCCUCAUUGGGCAUAUUCACCGUGUUUUUACACCUUGAGAAACUCUGAUUUCAGGCAACAGCCGUCUGAACCUCGACAGAACACUUCCUGUAUUACAGCACCGUUUUUAUAUCUUUUUUAUGCAUAAAAAAUCAUAAAUGUGAAAAAGAACCAGGGCUUUUUAAAAGUUGACCCAGGUAGUUCAUAACACAACUGCAAAACCACACUGGAGACACUACCGUCUCACACAUGCAGACCGCGGAAGUAAUGGAAAAAUAUUUUUAGUUUCAGAUAAUAGAACUGAACAUACAUCUAAGGUCUCAAAAGCCAGUCCUUACCCCUGUCCCUGCGAACGCAGCCCGAUCAGGUCACAGUCCGUGUACUGGUGUGUUUCUGGUCACUGCAUGGUGAACAGUACAGCCUGAGGCCACAGCCUGAGCCCUGAAGACGCAGGUAUCGGUGCCUUUGCUAAGUCCUGUAUUCCUCCCGGCUGAAAUACUGAGAUACAGUAUAGCGCCUGUUUUUUUCGGGUAGUCACGUGACUGUCUACAAGGAAGUUUAAAGGCACCAAAACACUGUGUACUUCUAGUUACUGGAUGUGAUGAAAACAGGGGGGACAAUGUACACAAUGUGGAUGUUAUAACUAUCAGGCACAAAGACAUGUCCCGCAGCAGCAGGCCGAAGACACUGAAUCUCUGUUGUUGAAAAGAGAGACAGGACCUGAUCCAAGCAUUCCUAAUUCUCAGGGGUGCUCACACGGUCAGUACCAUGGACCUCGACAGAACCGACAGGGAAACAAGCGGAAACAGAACAAGAGGCGCAUCUUUACACAAAGAGUGGCGGGAGUGUGGAACAGAUGAACUAAUAGCUAUGAUUUGAAACCCGAUGCCCUGGUUACUUUCAAGGAACUGCUGGAUGAGCUGGAUGCGAUGCUCGGAUCCAUUAGCUCCGAACUACCAGAAGAAAUACUGUCUGAGAUGUUGUGACACAAGAGCUCCUGUCUGUUCCACUCUGUCGUGCUGAAAUCAGUACCCAGAACACCUUCUUCUGCAACAGACAUUCUGAUUUAGAAAUAUAUCGGUUUUGGUUCAUUUGCAGUUGACAAGAUAAUGGAAGGCAGACACUACCCUGAGCACAAUAGCUGAUGUUUAAAAAGCACACUGAGUUGUCGGAGGACUGUAAUGACUGAACACAUGCGUGUUCAGUCACAUACUGAGAGACUGAGAGACACCGAGAUACUGAGACACACUGAGAUACUGAGAGACUUUGACACUGAGACACUGAAAUACUGAGAUACUGAGAUACUGAGAUACUGAGAAACACUGAGAGAUACUGAGAUACUGAGAAACACUGAGAUACUGAGAUACUGAGAAACACUGAGAUACUGAGAGACUUAGACACUGAGACACUGAAAUACUGAGAUACUGAGAAACACUGAGAGAAUAAAAUACUGAGACACUGAGAGACACUGAGAGACAUUGAUGCACUGACCUUGAGCUCUGGUGUGUCCAGACAGACCUGGGAAUAAAUACAGAGACUGUGAGCUCACUGCCUCACACUGUUCACAAGCACUGACACACUGCACACACUACACACACUGACACACUGACACACUGGACACACUGCACACACUGCACACACUGACGCACAGUGACAGAGAGUCACUGAGAGACAUGACAGCUCUAGUGAAACAGCAAGUGAAAGACCCCCCACUGACACAGAGACAGAGAGACAGCACUGACUCACAGAGGCACCACCACGAAAACACACUCUGACGCCGGAGACAGGAGAGAGGAGACAGGAGACAGGAGAGAGAGGAGAGAGGAAAGAGGAGAGAGGAGACAGGGGACAGGGGACAGGAGAGAGGAGAGAGGAGAGAGGGAGAGAGGAGAAAAGAGAGAGGGAGCUCCUCAGGGCGAAAGCGGGAAAGAAAGGAGCACUCACGAGCCAGGAAGAGGAGAAGAACGCAGAGAGGGGCCAUGUUGUGGGAGAGGUCAGUCAGCUCCUAUUAGAGUGAAGAAGUGUUUGAGGAAGUGCUCAGGGGAUGAAGCACAGGAAACCACACUGCUUCUGACAGACGAGAGCAGAGAAUGAGGCCACACUCAACACAGCAGGGCGCUGGGGAGAGGAGAG